AUCUCUUCUCGGCCUUUUGGCUAAGAUCACGUAUAGUAUCUGUUCUUAUCAGUUUAAUAUCUGUUACGUUCUCUAUCUGAGGACAAUAUAUUAAAUGAAUUUUUGGAGCAGGAAGUUGGAGUAGGAGCUUGCUCUGUCCACUUCAUGCAUUGGCCUGGUAGUGCAGUACUUCCAGGAAAGGUGCACCCCUU